rnacentral:rRNA from 1 species
GCUUAACCGAAGAAGUGCAUCGGAAACUGGGUGACUUGAGUGCAGAAGAGGACAGUGGAACUCCAUGUGUAGCGGUGGAAUGCGUAGAUAUAUGGAAGAACACCAGUGGCGAAGGCGGCUGUCUGGUCUGCAACUGACGCUGAGGCUCGAAAGCAUGGGUAGCGAACAGGAUUAGAUACCCUGGUAGUCCAUGCCGUAAACGAUGAGUGCUAGGUGUUGGAGGGUUUCCGCCCUUCAGUGCCGGAGCUAACGCAUUAAGCACUCCGCCUGGGGAGUACGACCGCAAGGUUGAAACUCAAAGGAAUUGACGGGGGCCCGCACAAGCGGAGGAGCAUGUGGUUUAAUUCGAAGCUACGCGAAGAACCUUACCAGGUCUUGACAUCUUGCGCUAACCUAAGAGAUUAGGUGUUCCCUUCGGGGACGCAAUGACAGGUGGUGCAUGGUCGUCGUCAGCUCGUGUCGUGAGAUGUUGGGUUAAGUCCCGCAACGAGCGCAACCCUUGUUACUAGUUGCCAGCAUUCAGUUGGGCACUCUAGUGAGACUGCCGGUGACAAACCGGAGGAAGGUGGGGACGACGUCAGAUCAUCAUGCCCCUUAUGACCUGGGGCUACACACGUGCUACAAUGGUCGGUACAACG